GUCUGUAGUGGGGCAGACACACAGGAGAGACAGUACAGGUCUGUAGUGGGGCAGACACACAGGAGAGACAGUACAGGUCUGUAGUGGGGCAGACACACAGGAGAGACAGUACAGGUCUGUAGUGGGGCAGACACACAGGAGAGACAGUACAGGUCUGUAGUGGGGCAGACACACAGGAGAGACAGUACAGGUCUGUAGUGGGGCAGACACACAGGAGAGACAGUACAGGUCUGUAGUGGGGCAGACACACAGGAGAGACAGUACAGGUCUGUAGUGGGGCAGACACACAGGAGAGACAGUACAGGUCUGUAGUGGGGCAGACACACAGGAGAGACAGUACAGGUCUGUAGUGGGGCAGACACACAGGAGAGACAGUACAGGUCUGUAGUGGGGCAGACACACAGGAGAGACAGUACAGGUCUGUAGUGGGGCAGACACACAGGAGAGACAGUACAGGUCUGUAGUGGGGCAGACACACAGGAGAGACAGUACAGGUCUGUAGUGGGGCAGACACACAGGAGAGACAGUACAGGUCUGUAGUGGGGCAGACACACAUGAGAGACAGUACAGGUCUGUAGUGGGGCAGACACACAGGAGAGACAGUACAGGUCUGUAGUGGGGCAGACACACAGGAGAGACAGUACAGGUCUGUAGUGGGGCAGACACACAGGAGAGACAGUACAGGUCUGUAGUGGGGCAGAAACACAGGAGAGACAGUACAGGUCUGUAGUGGGGCAGACCCACAGGAGAGACAGUACAGGUCUGUAGUGGGGCAGAAGCACGCGUGUGGGGCAGAAGGACGGGUAUGGGGCUGCCUGCUCCUGGGCAUUUCUGGGAGUCUGUACAGACAGAUUGUAAAACACUCCCCAUCUGUUCCGGAAUCUCCCUAAAACAGGAAACCACAACACUCCACCCUGUCCCCAUCUCCCCAUCUGAGACCAUCUCCUGUCUGCGUACCAAAUAGCACUUUUCCCUUUAUAGUGCACUACUUCUGACGUGCACUUUAUAAGGAAUAGGGUGCCAAUUGGGACGCAGCCUCCUCACUCCCUCUCUGAUCCACACCGAAGGGAGAAAACUGGCCCAUAGCAAACUAACUAUCAACUGGGUCUGGCCCAUAGCAAACUAACUAUCAACUGGGUCUGGCCCAUAGCAAACUAACUAUCAACUGGGUCUGGCCCAUAGCAAACUAACUAUCAACUAUCAACUGGGUCUGGCCCAUAGCAAACUAACUAUCAACUGGGUCUGUCCCAUAGCAAACUAACUAUCAACUGGGUCUGUCCCAUAGCAAACUAACUAUCAACUGGGUCUGUCCCAUAGCAAACUAACUAUCAACUGGGUCUGGCCCAUAGCAAACUAACUUCAACUAUCAAUUGUACACACCUCACUCUGUAUAACAGGGGUUGGUAGUACAGUAGGAUCAGUCAGACAUACUGUAGUCCUGUAGGUACAGUAGUUGUACACUGUUCUUGGAGUAAGCAGAGCAGAGCUGGAGACCUAUUCCCUCUAUAAUUACAGUAUAGUGCCCUACUGUUGACCAGUCCUUUACAGUAUAGUGCCCUA